rnacentral:rRNA from 1 species
UACGUAGGGUCCGAGCGUUGUCCGGAAUUAUUGGGCGUAAAGAGCUCGUAGGCGGUUUGUCGCGUCUGCUGUGAAAUCCCGAGGCUCAACCUCGGGCCUGCAGUGGGUACGGGCAGACUGGAGUGCGGUAGGGGAGACUGGAAUUCCUGGUGUAGCGGUGAAAUGCGCAGAUAUCAGGAGGAACACCAAUGGCGAAGGCAGCUCGCUGGGACGUUACUGACGCUGAGGUGCGAAAGCGUGGGGAGCAAACAGG